rnacentral:lncRNA from 1 species
GGAAAAUGAAAAUCUCCCUCUUUAAAACAUGAUCCCCUCCCCUUCUGUUCAAACACAAAAUCUUUCUUCUUCACUCAGUUCCUCAUCAACCAACUCAACGUCGUCAAGUGGUCCAGGGGGACAGCACAUAUAUUGCUCACUGCUUCCAUGCCAUUACUACUCCACUACCUCACCGCAUGCGCAUCACAUCUAUUGCUACAGCUUCGCUGCGCUUUCCCCUCAUCACCAAAAUCAUCAAGCAAAAGGUUAGGCAAAUUGCUUAUAUUAAAAUAGGAGAUAAAGUUUAGGAUUUGAUUUUCUAAAUUGAUUUAUGAUUAAGGUUUGCUUUGAACUAUUGAUUUGGGUUUAGUUGGAACUGUUGAUUUUGGGUUAGAUCUGAAUUGUUGAUUUAAGUUUGAUGAUGAUGACGGUAGGUAUGACUUGGAUAAUGAACCUAGAUAGUGAGUGGGAAGCUUGGGAGGCAGGGAUGACGAAGUUGGGAAAAGGGUGAGAACCAAGAAUCUUCAAAGAUAGGUCCUUUUUGAUAUGUGAAGCCUGGAACUGCUCAUGGCAACCAUGAACUAGGAAUGAAGUACAGUUGUUAAAACAAGGAUGAAAACCAGAAAUCUGGUUUUGUUGUUGGGCUCAAUUCGAACACACCACAACUCAAUUCCUCCAAGGCGUUCUAGAUUAUUUAUGACUUCCUGUUAAAUUCUCUCAUUUUUGCAAAUGAACAGGUCAUGGAACACUAAAAAUUCAAACUGAGAGACAUUAUUUUCUAUGUUAUUAAGACAUGUGUUUUCAUUUCUGGUAAUAAUGGUGCAAAGUUUAGUUUGUAUCUUCAUCUUAUUUUUUUUUUAUGUUUUUCAUCUAUAAGUAAUUUUUAGAGUGCUUAUAUAUAUAUAUAUACAUACAUAUAUGUCAAGAAGGCAUCCAGUAUAGCACAUGCCUAAGAUAGGUCUAGUGGCAGCAAAAAUGAAGUUUUGUUAUGAAACUUUGUAUAGAUUGUAAUUAGAGGUUUAGUUAAUCUAUAUGCUCUUGAACUGAAUCUCGAUACCUAUUAGAUUAAAAAAAAAGAAUAUAAGAGACAUCUUCAUGCAAUGCAAAAAGUUUGUUUCGUAACAUUGAUUUUACAAUAUGUUUCAAUUUGUUUGUUGAGAUGCAUUUAUCAAUUAUCAUAUUAAUGAAAAUACAUUUAAUAGUUUAUAUUU